rnacentral:tRNA from 1 species
GUUUUAAUAGUUUAAUAAAAAUUUAGAUCUUGUAAAUCUAAGAUAACGCAAGUUUUAAAAAU